AUAUGAAUCACCCGGGGAUCUUGUUAAAAAUGUGGAUUCCAAUUCCACCGUUCUGAGUUAGGGCCUGAAGUCCUGCAUUGCUAACAAAUUCCCACGUGCUGCAGAU
rnacentral:miRNA from 1 species